GUUAUUUGGAUAUUUUUAAGUUUGUAUACAUCAAAACCAACCAUCUAAACUCUAUAGGACCCAACUCAAAACUCACACAUAAAAGUUUAAUAUCCAAGCGGGGCCUAAUUAUAAAAUCCCAAAAAAAAAUUUGAUACCCGAAAGAAACAACCCGUACCUGAAUGUCUAUGCCUAACUAAUUCUGUAACCAAAUAAAAAAAUUCUUUCUAUGUGUUUGGGUAAAUUAAGUAAAAUAGAAAGCUCUUUAAUUUAGUAAAAAAGUUAUAUGGUGUGAAAAAUUAAGUGACAAUAUAUGUAAUGUGUUUUUAUUAUUUUGAUUUAAGUUAUUAUUUUGUUCAUAUUAACUAUGUCUUUGAAUUAUGUGUUUGGCUACGUAAUUUCUAACCAUAUGCAAAACCCGGUUGUUUUACAUGAUUUUUAUAAUUGGUACAAAGUUAAUUUUGAUUAAAAAUAAAAAUCUUCAAUAUUAUUAUUAUGGUUAUGCAACUAAUGAUGUAAUGUAUUAUUAAUGUAAUAUAAUUAAUGAAGCUGUUAAAUUGAGUGAAAAUGGAAUGAUAAUUAAUGUAUUAACUUGUUGGAAAAAAGUUAGUUCUAUUUGUACUUCAGUUUUAAUAACAUACUAGAGAUUGACCCGCACACCCCCGCACAUGUAUUGCUUCUUACAUUUUUAUACAUUUAUGUUUGUUUUUCAUAAUUAGUGCUAUAUAUUUUAGAUGGGUCGUAAUAUAACUAAUUGCAUUCAAAAGACAUGGACCAAAUCGGAUAAUAUUAUUAUUUUUGGUACAAAUAUCCUAACCUAUUUCAGAUACAUUUGUUAUUUAUAUAUUUUUAGGUUCCUAUACAUCAUAACCGAACUCAUCCAGACCCAGAAGGACCCAACUCAAAACUCACACUUAAAUUUAUAAUAUUCAAGUGGGGUCUAAUUUAUAAAAAAAACAAUACCUGAAAAUAACAACCCGUAUCUAAAUGGAUAGCCAAUGUUCAUGCCUAACUAAUUUUAUAAACUAAUAAACAUGACUCUUUCUAUGUCUUUGGCUAAAUUAAUUGAAAUAAAAAGAUUUUUUUUAUUUAGUAAAAUAAUUAUAUAGAGUGGAAAAUUAAGGGACAAUAAAUGUAAUACAUUUUUAUUAUUUUAAUUUAAGUUAUUAUUUUAUUCACAAAAAAAAUAUAUUUGAAUUAUGUUUUUGGCAAACUUAGAGUUUUAAGUGAUUUAUAUUAAAAUGACAAAUCUACUAUUACUCAAACAUGAAUUUUGAAACUCAUUUAAAAUCUACUAUUAUUGAACUUAGCAUUUCGUAGAGUACUCUAAAAUUCACUGUUAUUAAAAAUAUUUUAAAUUGUGGAGUUUUAAAGUUUUGAGGUGAUUUUAGGGUGUUUGGGUGGAGUUUCAUAGUUAAAAAAAAAAAAUCCAAAUCCCAUAGUUUUAGGUUAUAUUCAAGAGGGGUUAAACAAAAAUCACAUAAAUCUCUGCAAUUUAUUGAAAUCAUCUAAAACUCCAUUAAAAGUUAAAUCACCUUAUUAAAUCACCUUUAUCACAUUUGAGGUGAUUUAACUUUUAACGGAGUUUUAGAUGAUUUCGAUAAGUUGCAGAGAUUUAUGUGAUUUUUGUUAAACCACUCUAGAAUAUAUAACCUAAAAACCAUAGAAUUUGGGUUUUAUUUUUUUUUAACUAAAAAACUCCACCCAAAUACCCUAAAAUCACCUCAAAACUUUACAACUCAUCAACUUCAAAUAUUUUCAAUAACAGUGGAUUUUAGAGUAUUCUACAAAAUGUUAAGUUCAAUGACAGUUGAUUUUAAAUAAUUUUUAAAAUUCAUGUUUGAAUAACAGAGAAUUUAUCAUUUUAAUACAAAUCACCUAAAACUUUCAGUCGAAUACAAUACACCCCCUAAAUAAUUUUUGUAAUCACGAGUUCCGCAUGGACGAUGUCAUGAUAGUGACAUGGAAUAUUUGAGUGAUCCUUACUUAUUUUGAGUGGGCUCAACAAGGUCACGUUUUUAAAUUAAAGCUAUAACAUUACGUAGCUGUAUAUUACUAAUAAUAUACAUAAAAUCCUAUCUAUCUUAUUAAAAGAAAAAGAAAAGGAACCUUUGAAACUAAUUUUAGUUUUAUGUGAGAUAUUACAAAAUAUACUAUUUAAAUUUGUAAUUUUUGUAUUAUUUCAUUAACGAUACUUUUGUAAUGAAAUGUUAGACUAGAAAAUACGAAAUACAAAUUAAUAAAUAAAUAUUAGGUUAUUAAAAUUUCCCAAUUUUGAUUCAAAGGAAUGUAUUUAAUAAAUUAUAUAAUAAAUAUAUUUUUUUUUGACAGCAAAGAAUUUACAGACUCAUAUUAACUCCGACAAUAAAUAUUUAUUAAUCACUAAAAAAUAUAAACGGCCAUGUAACAGUCUUCAUACGACCCAUCUGCUUUUUUUUAUCAAAGGAGUCAUCUGCUAACAACCUUUUCAUGAUCCUAAUACUAUAUAAUCAUAUCUAACCUAUAUUAAAAGGGAUAUAUGAGGAGUAGGGAGGCUGUCCACGUCCUCAUUUAAAAUCAGCCAAUAGGGUGUCUGAAAUUUGCCAUGUCACACUGCUGCUGAGUUAGAUUGGGCUUCUGUGGGUUUUCUUAAAUUUUCAUCCGGUCCAACUAAACUCAUGCCCACAAAUAUGUAUCAUCUUCAAGCGUCGAGGGUCUCUGUCCCCGACUCUUCCACUUCAUCUUCUCUAAUAUCUGAUUUUUUUUCCUAUACCUUCUCAAUCAAUGAUAAUCUUAAAGCUAUUCUUGAAUGUUUUGUUUCACCUCCACUCGAUACUUGAUACUUCUCCUAUAUAAAGCUCUGUCUCUAGACCCUAAAUCUAUCCUAAAUUAAAAAAAAAAAACUAUUUUGGCGGAAGCUACAUCCAUGGCCAUGAAAUACCACCGCCAAAAUUCAGCUAUCCACCAACAAAUCUCCAAUCGUCGCGGGCUUCUGCUGAAACCACUUGCAUGAGGACUGCCAGAAUUUGUUGAGGACAGAGGCGGAAGCCCGUGUGGUCAAUGGAACCGGAGCUGAGCUUGAUCAGGUAAGGUCGGAUGUCUAGAGGCUAGCUGAAGAUAUACCGAAGCUAUCGGCGGCGACAACUGAGCUUACGGCGAGAUAGCCAAGGCUAAAGCCUUUUCCUUUGCUACGUCACCUUCUGAGAUAAAUUGUUUCGACAAACCUAUUUGGCUUCAAGCUUCGAAAGUAUCAUCUCCCGCACCCAGACUCUUCCACUUCAUCUUCUCUAUGUCUGAUUUUUUUCAGUUACCUUCUCUCAAUCAAUGAUCAGUGAUGAUCUUAAUGUUUCGUUAUACCUACCCUAGACCCUUCUCCUAUAUAAAUCACUACAAUCUACGCCUAAAUCCACCCUAAAUUAUAAACCUACUAUGUAGCAGCUGUAUCCAUAGCCAUGAAAUCGAUCGGAAAAUCGCAGCUCUCCACAAAAUCAACGCUUCCCCUACAGGUAUGGAUCUCCUUGGCCGUAUGUUUUCGUAUUUAGCUGUCACUGCUAUCACAAAGAUUGAAAAUUUAUUUUCUCUGUAGAUUAUUUUCAUCGAUGUGUAAUUUGAAAGUUACUCAUACUUUUCUCAGUUUUGCAAUCUUACAAGGAAUCUCAAGAGCCGGCAGAUAACUCAAGUGUAAGCUUAUUAAUGUCUUCUUAUUUGUGACAACUUUCAGCGAGCAUACUUUAGAUUCCUAACUAAUUAAAAAAAGGCAUUACUCUGUUUGAUGUGUGUUUUGCUUAUCUGCUUCGGCUAUGGUUUUAUGACGAUGUUUCAGGAAGUACGGAAAUGCAAAUGCCUGGACCUUUCGAUUAUCUUACUCUUACUGCCCUCAUCGAGUGUAAGGUUUGUGCUCUUCUUUCAAGCUGGUAUUUCAGACAUAUUUUUCAACGACACCAUUUUACUUCAUCAGUGAUUAUCAAUUACAGGUUUUCUGUUUGCAUUGAGGGCUUUCACUUUCUCCGAAUACACUUGAUAAUAUCCGGAUCUUGGAUUAGCUACAUGAGGUAUUAUCUUCUCCUUUUUUCUGCCCAAGUCCUUAGUUCGGAUUGGAUUUGAAGAGUUAUGAGUUGUUUAUGGGUCUCUUUCUCCUUCCACUCUCUUAAGGUUCAAGUGCUAACUUCCAAAUUAGUAUUAGGUUGUUUUCUGAAAGAGCAAAAGAAUAUCUUACUGGUCAUCUGUUUGAACUAUGUCUUGGUGCCACACUAAGGACCAAUGUGUGAUUUACUUUGGGAUGAUCCCCAUGAUGAUGUGGAUUAUCUCUUCGAGCUGGUUAUACAUUUGGACAGCUCAAUUCAAUGACAACAAUGGACUCAAUAUCAUAUUAAGAGCCCAUCAGCUUAGCUUUUAACUGGUGGCAGGUGUGUAUGUUCAUUUCAAUUGCUCAAGACUCUAACGAAGGAAAAAAUGUGGUGAUGGUGUCGCACCAAACUAUUGCUUCUGGUGGGGAAAUAUUGCAGCGAUUGUAGAAAUAAGAGAGGAUUAAAAUUUCCUCCAGUUUAAUCCAGCCGAAAGACCACCCAAUGCUAAAACCUAUACAAUGGCAUCUGGUAUGUUUCUAACCUCGACAGUCUCCAAGUCCAAGCGAACCUGCAGGUUCUUUAAGAGGAUCACAAGACUGAAUUAUAAACAAUAGGAAACCCUGAAGAAGCUACCUCAACAACUUCCACCUCUUGAAAUUGGAUUAAAUGUAGGGAAUUCUCUUUUGCAAUUUGAUUAUUUGGCCACAACAUCUGAAGCAUAAGGCAAAGUUGUGACAUGUGCAGGUAUAUUGCUUCUAUACAUUGACCCGCUCUCGCAAGGUUUCCUUUAAAAUAAUAUUGAAGAACUAUUAUUUCGAGUUACAAUAUAUUGUACUUCAAGUGUUAUAAUAAUUUUUUGAUGAAAUACCAUUUCCAGUAAUGUAAUCUAUGUUUUCAUAAUUAUUUUCUUUUUUGCACUCUCAUAAUUUAAUUUUAAUUUUAUUAUUUUAAUUAAUUUUAUAAGUUACAAUAUAGAUGCUUGUAUAUUCAAAAUAACGUAAUUGGCAAUUUAAAAUAACGUAUACAAUACUACAAUUUAAAAUAAGAAUACAUAUUGUAUAAAGUAUUACAAUCGGAACUAACUUUAUAAUAGUUGAGUUUAGGUGGCAAUGAGUUUCAAAUAGUUUCAGCUGACUAAGAUGUGCUUUCACGUGGUCUAGAAACCACAGAAACUUCACACUAGGGCGAUUUUAAACUUUGUUGUAUUUUUGUUAUUGAGAACUAUAUCUACAUAUAACAUGAUGAUGGAUAAGCUGAAUAAAAAAUAAAUGAAUCUUAGUUAUCAUAUAUAUAUAUAUAUAUAUAUAUUAUCUUUCUUACUAGAUGUUUAUGUAAAAACAUAUGUUAAAUGUAGAACUGAUUUAAACUUUGUUUCAGUUUUAAAAUCACUAAUUUCUCUUUCUAUUGUCCUAUAUGUCUUUAAAACGAAAUACAAACUAACUUAUACGCAUGCUUUUUACUUGGUUUAUUUCAACCAAUUGAUUAGGUUCUUCGAUCUAACAAAAAUGUAUGUUUAUGGCAUUUUGGUUUGAUACAUAUAGUUUGACAAAAUAAACCAAAAAUUCCUAGCUAGACUGUUACAAUAAAAAAUAAUUAGACCAAAACUUUGGCUUAAUAUAGAUACAAAAAUUCUCUUACAGUUAGUGAAGACAAAGUUUUAAUGAAGGAACUUUUCACAUAUUUAAAUUGUGCCACUAUUUAUAUGGGAUGAAGUAGAAACUUCUUUCUAACAAUUAUCAAAACAAUUUCGUAAAAUUUUUUUUAUCAAAAGCAAUGAUCCUAAAAUAUAUAAAUGUAAAAAAAAUGAUUUCAUUAAGCAUGAAAGUUAUAUUUUGAUAUUUAAUAAAAAUAAAAUAAAAUAUUAAUGUUUGCCUCAACAUCAUCCAAAAUAUUCUACAACAACUUCAUAAACAUUAUUCAAAGCUUCAAAGAAAACUUACAGAAUAUAUAGAAUACCAAAAACGUCAAACUACAUUACUCAUUCAUGUUUACGGUGUUAGACAUGUUAACUUUUUCAAAAUUUAUGAACCUAAUUUAUACUAUAAAGUUGUGAAGAAGAAAGUGAAAAAUCAAAAUCGAUACUAUUAGUUUUCAGAAAAAAUAUACAAAUAUUCAGUAAAACUGAUAAAUUACAAUCACUAAAGAUUUUUUUUUUUAAAAUAAAUACAAAUAACAAAAUCACCUAUUACUUACAAAUAAAAAGUAAUAAAAUUAAACACAUUUUCAAUAAAAUUAAACACAUUUUCCGCGCGUAGCGCGGACACGGCUCUAGUUUAAUUAAUACUAGAUUACGAUCAGCUCGAUAGUGUGAAUUUUAUUUUAAAUUAGUUAACUAAAUUUUCUAAAUUAAUCGAAUGUUGUUUAAUGUUAAAAGAAAAUUUAGUUGUAUAAUAUUUAUUUUAUGUGGUUCAAUUAACACUAUUAUAAUUAUUUUGUGUAAAUAUGUUGCUAAUAAUUUGGUUGAUACUAUAAUCAGUUAAAUUUGUUGUUUAUGAUUAGUGUUAAGCAUUAAUCUUUAGAUAUAAUACAUUUUGAAUAUUUUCAUAAUUAUUUUUGUUAUUAUAUUUAUCAUACAAUAUAGUUAUUUUCAAUGUAUGAUGUUUAUAUAUAUAUGGGAAAUUACCAAAAAAUACUAUUGUAACAUUCCGAGUGUUGAUAUAUGGAAAGAUUUAGGAUGAUUAAUUUGGCUAUCUAUGUCACCGAAGUUGACUUACCUUUUCCGUCAUACAUCCAUUUAGAACUCUAGAGUUAAGUGUACUUGAGCUAAAGUAGUGGAAGGAUGUGUGACCCAUCAGGAAGUGAUUCGCAAUAUCGUGUGAGUGAGGUCAAAGCACGCAGAAAGGUCAUGUGGUAAUUGCAUGGUCAGUAAACAAGAUUUUCGGGCCAUGGAAAAUUAACGCACCGCCUGUCAGAAGGGAUGAGACCAUGGGCCGAGUGAGUGGGAGUGGGUGGUCCAUUAGCCGUGAACGGUCGGAACGUUACAACUACGUUCAUAAUACCAUUUUCAUGUUUACCUUAACCAUCUUUACCUUCACUUUCAAAGAGGAAAAAAACACUUAUAAUCCUAGGGUAAACUAAUCAAGACUUUAGAUUCAAAGUUGGAGUAAUUUCAUAUUUACCACUUUCAUGCUACCAUUAUUCUUUUUUACCACCAUUAAAGAAACAUUUUCAAAAAUAUCUUCUUCAUAAAGUGGCAAAACACUCUUAUAUCAUUGCUCUCUAUAUAUAUAAUAAAUAAUCAUUUAAAUAAAAAAAUUUAUGUUUUUGAAUUCUGCUUUUUCCAAUUCGAACUUUAAAAAAAAAUUUGAAAAAAAAAUUUGAACUUUUUUUUCCAAAUAUUUUUUUUUUGAAAAUCAAAAAUUAUUUUUGAAACUAUUUUUAAAAUUUUUUUAUAUUUUUUAAGUAUUUAUAAAUUUAUUAGAAUCCUAAAUUUCACAUUCUAAAAAUCUUAUUACAUUCUUCGACUCUAAACUCUAAGUCUAGAUUAGUUAACCCUAGGGUAUAAAUGAAUUUUACCCUUAAUUAAAAGUAACGAUAAAAAUGAUUAGUGUAAACAUGAAAAGUAGUACUAUGAAUGUGAUAUUUGUGGCAAUGUUCCUUUAAAGUUGAGGGGUGUGGCAGAGUUUUUGGAAUAUAGAAUUUAAGAUUCUAAUAAAUAUAUAAAUAAAUACUUAAAAACUAAUAAGUUUUUUUCUUAAAUGGUUUCAAAAAUAAUUUUCGAACUUCAAAAAUAAAAUUAAAAAAAUCCAAAAAGAAAUUUAUAACAAAGUUCGAAUUUGAAAAAAUAUAAUUCGGAAACAUAAUAAAAUUUUACUUUUUUAUUUAAAUAAUUAUUUAUUAUAUAUAUAUAGCAAGUGUAUAAAUGUCUUUUACUUCUUAAUGAGUAAAAUAUUUUUGAAAAUAUCUCUUUAGUGAAUGUAAACAUAAAUAAUAGUACCAACAACGUGGUAAAUAUGAAAAAUUCCCUUACAUAUAUAUAUGUAAUAGCUAUUAUUGAAUUAUUAUGUUACUUAACUAAAUAUGAUUACAUUUAUGUUAUGACAUUUUUAAAAUAUAUAAAGGUAAUAUAGUAUUUAAGGAUACUUUUUUGACUUUUAAAAUUUUUGAAUUUUAAAUCUAAUAAUUAUAUUUCGACUUUAAAUAUUAAAACUUCUAUUUUAUGUCAAUAUACAUAAAUUUGGAAAGCUGGCCAAACAAAAGCUGACAAAAAAAUCAUAAAUUUGGAAAUCAUAUAUUUUAUUAGCCUACUUUAUUAGAUAAUAUUUAUUUUUUUGAUAAAAUAUUUUUUUGCAAACAUUAACAUAUUUUUAAAAAUGAUUUAUCAUAAACGAUUUUAGGAAAUAUUGGCAUUUUCGAAAAUAGCAAACUUAUUAAUUAUUCUUUUGGUUAUUUAUUUUUUUAAUUUUCGAAAAAAUAAUUAAACAUUUUGUUAACUUAAUAUAGUAUUUAUAUUUUUAUUGAUUUACCUUAUUUGAUAUUGAUUUAUAUUUUAGUUUGAAAUAAAUGAUUUUUUUUUGUAAUAUUAACAUUUUUCAAAAUAGUAAACUUAAAUAAUGAUUUGUCAUACUACGAUUGAUCGUUUAACAUCCUACGUGGACACCCUCAAUGGCUUAUAGCCUCAACUUUUAUAUAGUAUAGAUUGAUUGGUUGUUCCAUUGACAAGAACUCAAAUAUAUUUACAAAGAAUUUUUUAUUUGUUUACAGAAUCAGAUAUGCAUGUAUAUUUAGGUAUUUGUUCAGAUAGGAAUCAGUUCUUUCAGGUAUAAGAAUUUUUUGGUUUUAAAUUAGAUUCUGUUUAAAAAUACUAUAAAUUUAUGGGCGGAAUUCGAGUAGGAUGAAUUCAGUUAUAAUGUGUUAGAACCUAAAAUUAUCCAAAUGACAUAUAUAUUUUAUAAAUGUCAUUAAACAAUUUAUAAAAAAGGGUAAAACACAACAUCUGCAUUGGUGCAUGUAUCAAGCUCUAAUUGUUUUUAUUACAACACACGGGCUUUGAGGCUCAAAGAGAAGAAAAAAUGGGCAGGCCAGGUAAUGUAGUUCCAGAGUCAAGAAUGUAUAUAUUUCCUGAGACAUAUCGAGAAGAGUCAUGAAUGAGAUAGCGAACCAGCGAGGUAAUUCCCGGAUCCACGGUCUGUUGCACCUUUAACGGUAUAAUCCUAUCGGUCACGUUCUUUAGCCAUUCUUUUUGCAUAAGACCUUGCGUGAUCU